UAAUCUAUGUCAACAGUUAUUUAUUUACUUCAGGAAUAUGUAUGUGUUUUUAGUACUUACAAUGUAAUGUAUGUAUGUAAUUUUGAAUCUAUCGCAUCACACAAAGUACAUAGAAACUGCGCAAUUGAAAAAAUUAAGUUCUUUCUUUACGGGUUCUGGCUUAAUUUUUAUUGUGUGUAGUGAAGCUGAAUAAAAAUGCCUAACAUUAUGACGUGGCCAAAAUCAACCUCCCAUUUGGAUAUCUUUGUUGGUAAUGCCCGAAAGCUACUUGUGUCUGAACCACCAACUGUGAGGGAUAUCCUGAGGAAUGGAAUCUACUCGAUGGAACAAAGUUAAGGUUACCGGAGGAACUAUCCCUUGAAUAAACUGGUGGAUGUCGUCUACCCUGCUCUGAUGAUUGAUCAGUGGAGAAAAGGCAAUCCACUGUCAGCUCUGAAAAUGAAAAAUGGAGAGCAAUUACAAUCUCUCCUUCUGAUUGGGACAUCAUUGAUAUAGUUUAUUUAAAAAAAUGUAAAGUGUACCUAAAUAUUAUGAAGGAAAUUUAAAAAUGGUAAAGUAAUAUGAUUAAAGGUUUUAUGGAACUAAUUUUUUGAUGAUUCGUUAAUGAGGUUGCCCUUGUAGGUGAUGCUAUCUUGGAUAGAUAUGUUCGGCACUACAUCCAGUUUGACUUUAAUUUAUGGUUUAUUUUUGAAAGAAAAUUAGAUUCAAAAGGAAACUUAAUGAUGAAGAAAUUAUUUGUAUUUAAGCAACGACUAUGUCUUGUUCUAAAAGUAGAAAAAAAUUAAUAAAAGAAGAAAGAGAGAGACUGGACAAGGGCGCGCUAAUUAAUCUUUCCUUAAAAAUUCUCGUUGAUCUUACAGAUCAUAAACAAUAUCACUAUAUUAUAGUUUUAGUUCUCCUAUGUUUUUUCAAACACUGCCAAGAGGUCCAACAUUUGAUCAACGAAUUCUUUCAAGUCCCAGAGGAAUUUUUAAAACGCCAUCUACUGGAGGCCAGUCAAGACUCAGGAAGCGAUUCCUUACUAUAUUUAGGUAUAUUAAAAACAUACAGAGCGCCACUACAAAGAUUUCAUAUCCCAUCCAAGCCCCAUCGGGAAGUUGAUGUAAAUAAACGAUCUUCAGAUAGAAACGGACGCUUCGAUCCCCAAAUAAUCUUUUUCUGAAUAUUAUUCAGUUUGUUUUUUACUUCCUUGAUGUACAGAGUAUAUCUGAAUAAAUGAACCAAACGGGGAAUGGCUAAUUUAUUCCGAAUUCUUAUUAUGCCCAAUGUUUUGAUAAAAUGAUAGUCAUAUAGCAAAAUGGUUUCAGAGACCAAAUUCAGUAUUCUCUUUGAUUUUCCAGAGAUCCCCCAAACAGAUUCUUUUCUCAAAAUUUUAAUUCCAAGUAGUUUCGCACUAUGUACGAAUUUUAAUUAUGAAUAGGGUUUCUACACAUUUGUGCGAAAUGGAGUCGAAUGUCUUUUGGAAGUCUACUAAAACAUAUUUCUAUGUUUUUAAACUCUUUUUGUAUGUUAUUAUUAUUUUUUUUUUUUCACAACUUGUUAUUUGGCAUUUUUUUUUCAUGUAUGAAUAAAUAGAAUUGAUAUUCGUU
rnacentral:lncRNA from 1 species